UAGAGUGAUGAAAAACAAGGGAGGCUAUACCAGACUAAUUAGAAAAUGAGGUAGCAAAAGCUCACCUAGUACAUAUGGAA